rnacentral:rRNA from 1 species
GACGAACGCUGGCGGCGUGCUUAACACAUGCAAGUCGUACGGUAAGGCCCUUUCGGGGGUACACGAGUGGCGAACGGGUGAGUAACACGUGAGUAACCUUCCCACAACUUUGGGAUAACGCUAGGAAACUGGUGCUAAUACUGGAUAUGUGCUCCUGCUGCAUGGGGGGGGUUGGAAAGCUCCGGCGGUUGUGGAUGGACUCGCGGCCUAUCAGCUUGUUGGUGGGGUAGUGGCCUACCAAGGCGGCGACGGGUAGCCGGCCUGAGAGGGUGACCGGCCACAUUGGGACUGAGAUACGGCACAGACUCCUACGGGAGGAAGAAGUGGGGAAUAUUGCACAAGGGGCGCAAGCCUGAUGCAGCAACGCCGCGUGCGGGAUGACGGCCUUCGGGUUGUAAACCGCUUUCAGCAGGGACGAAGCUUUUUGUGACGGUACCUGCAGAAGAAGCACCGGCUAACUACGUG